GGUCAGGACGAACGCUGGCGGCGUGCCUAACACAUGCAAGUCGAGCGAGGAGAUCCUUCGGGAUGAUCCUAGCGGCGGACGGGUGAGUAACACGUGGGCAACCUGCCUCAUAGAGAGGAAUAGCCUUCCGAAAGGGAGAUUAAUACCUCAUAACAUUGCAGUUUCGCAUGGAACAGCAAUUAAAGGAGUAAUCCGCUAUGAGAUGGGCCCGCGGCGCAUUAGCUAGUUGGUGAGGUAAUGGCUCACCAAGGCGACGAUGCGUAGCCGACCUGAGAGGGUGAUCGGCCACAUUGGGACUGAGACACGGCCCAGACUCCUACGGGAGGCAGCAGUGGGGAAUAUUGCACAAUGGGGGAAACCCUGAUGCCAGCAACGCCGCGUGAGUGAUGACGGCCUUCGGGUUGUAAAGCUCUGUCUUCAGGGACGAUAAUGACGGUACCUGAGGAGGAAGCCACGGCUAACUACGUGCCAGCCGCCGC
rnacentral:rRNA from 1 species